rnacentral:lncRNA from 1 species
GCCAAGAGCUUCUUAGGAACCCGGACGGACCCGGCCUGAGGGUGCCGGAGAUGGAGUCGGUUGGCCCUGGGAGAGAACAGGACGUCCUUGCCCGGAAGGAGAAAGGUUUACCGCUCUUCGCCCUGCAGAACCUGACAGUUCUCAUCGCCUCUCUAAUAGGCUUGUGCGCCAAGGGGAUCAUCAUUGUAGGCUGCAGGGGAAAGCACAAUUACUUACCCUCUAUUGACAUCCUGGAUGUACAAGUACUCUUCUGCCAACUAUGGACAAUGAAUACCUAAAGGUAACAAACCAAGAACACAUUAAUAACACUUCAGCAGCACAACCUUGCAAAUCCUCCCUCUUCACUGUCAAAGGAAGUGACAUGCAUCUCAAAGGGAAAGCAUUGACGAACUUAUCCUGCAUGCAAGAUGUCUUCCAGCACUGCAAGGAGUAGCACAUGAGCUCAGGGCUCAUCCUGCUUGCCAUGAGUGCAGCUUUGCAGUAAUGGCUCCAAAAGUGCAACAAACAGCCAGCAACCAGCGCCGAGGCCAAAAAAGGUGAUUACAGAGGCAAAAACUUGAAGGCAGCUAUAUAACCUGCUGAUGGAAACAGAGAUCUACCAGGAAACAAAGAGAAAAUGAAACACAACUGUUUGUCUAUUUAUCUCACCUGCCCAGAGAAAUCCCAGACAAUUCACCUUUCAGGUUAGUGAGGGUCCCCUUUGCCCUACGACAUGCAUGUUGCACCUUCUGCCACCAGGCACUACCUUGGAAAGUGCCCAUGGUACCCAGAAACCAACACAAAGCACACUGCUAGCAGUUCUCAAAAUGAAUCUGGAGCACAGCAGCCCAACUGCUAAAAUUCCCAGAACUGAACCUCUUCCACCAACACACAGAUCCCUCACUGACACCCACAAAAAAUAACAAACAUAAACAACUCCUCUGAGAGGCCCUCUCAAGCCUAUAAACAAGACUUCAAAGCAACAACCUAAACAAUGACCAUACAUCCAAGUUGCAACCAUACUUUGCACCAUAUGGACCAUCAUAUGGAUCUCCUUGAGCUUCUGGCAAUGCUACACACUGUUUUCCUUAGCAACGUGCUGCUCAGAAAGCCUUUCGCAAUUGCAUGUUGUCAUUCAAGGAGUACUGCACAGGUUAAGUGGAGGCAGCUGUCCGCUGGCUAGACAAUGUACAAGAACACCAGCCUAUUAGGCUAUCGGGAAAAGAAAUGUGUGCAGCCCAUACACCAAAAACGUGACCAUCCAUCUAUGGAUAUUUUCUUCUUCUUAAUGUCUGCAUU